rnacentral:rRNA from 1 species
GACGAACGCUGGCGGCGUGCCUAAUACAUGCAAGUAGAACGCUGAAGGAGGAGCUUGCUUCUCUGGAUGAGUUGCGAACGGGUGAGUAACGCGUAGGUAACCUGCCUGGUAGCGGGGGAUAACUAUUGGAAACGAUAGCUAAUACCGCAUAAGAGUAGAUGUUGCAUGACAUUUGCUUAAAAAGUGCAAUUGCAUCACUACCAGAUGGACCUGCGUUGUAUUAGCUAGUUGGUGGGGUAACGGCUCACCAAGGCGACGAUACAUAGCCGACCUGAGAGGGUGAUCGGCCACACUGGGACUGAGACACGGCCCAGACUCCUACGGGAGGCAGCAGUAGGGAAUCUUCGGCAAUGGACGGAAGUCUGACCGAGCAACGCCGCGUGAGUGAAGAAGGUUUUCGGAUCGUAAAGCUCUGUUGUAAGAGAAGAACGAGUGUGAGAGUGGAAAGUUCACACUGUGACGGUAUCUUACCAGAAAGGGACGGCUAACUACGUG